UGGUCCCACCUGACCCCAUGCCGAACUCAGAAGUGAAACGCCGUAGCGCCGAUGGUAGUGUGGGGUCUCCCCAUGCGAGAGUAGGGAACUGCCAGGU
rnacentral:rRNA from 2 species